rnacentral:rRNA from 1 species
UCGAUUGAGUUUGAUCAUGGCUCAGGACGAACGCUGGCGGCGCGCUUAACACAUGCAAGUCGAACGUGAAGCCCGGGCUUGCCCGGGUGGAAAGUGGCGAACGGGUGCGUAACACGUGAGGAACGUGCCCCGAAGACCGGGAUAACUCGAGGAAACUCGUGCUAAUACCGGAUGUCCUCACCGGAUCGCAUGGUCUGGUGAGGAAAUGGAUUCCGCUUCGGGAUCGCCUCGCGGCCUAUCAGCUUGUUGGUGGGGUAAUGGCCUACCAAGGCAACGACGGGUAGCUGGUCUGAGAGGAUGUCCAGCCACACUGGGACUGAGACACGGCCCAGACUCCUACGGGAGGCAGCAGUGGGGAAUCUUGCACAAUGGGCGAAAGCCUGAUGCAGCGACGCCGCGUGCGGGAUGAAGGCCCUCGGGUCGUAAACCGCUUUCAGCAGGGACGAUAGUGACGGUACCUGCAGAAGAAGCCCCGGCCAACUACGUGCCAGCAGCCGCGGUAAUACGUAGGGGGCAAGCGUUGUCCGGAUUUAUUGGGCGUAAAGAGCUCGUAGGCGGUUCGAUAAGUCGGGUGUGAAAUCUCCAGGCUCAACCUGGAGGCGCCACUCGAUACUGUCGUGACUUGAGUUCGGUAGAGGAGUAUGGAAUUCCCGGUGUAGCGGUGAAAUGCGCAGAUAUCGG